GCUGCCGUAGCUCAGUGGUAGAGCACUCCCUUGGUAAGGGAGAGGUCGACAGUUCAAUCCUGUCUGGCAGCACCA
rnacentral:tRNA from 3 species